AGCGGGGGGAGGAGAAGGCGCGCGCCUCCCGUCCUCCUGCCUCCGCGGCCGCGCUCCGGAGCACGGUGCUGGCGGGGCAGGGGAAUGCCGGGCGGCGUCCCGGUCCCCAGGGUGCCGCAGGCUCCUAAAGCGGGAGUGGAAGAAACGGGCCGGGCCCCGCCACAGGGAAGGAGGGAAAAGCGGGGGGGAAGGGCUGACCGCCACGAUCGGAAUAGGCCGCCCAGGCGGGCGCUGCGCGCCCCCGCGCCCCGCGGAUCCCGCCACCAGCCUCCGGCCUCCCUUAAGCUCCCUCCCCGGGGCGCUGGAGCCGCGGGGACGGCGCGGGAAGUAGGGAUGGGCCACUCACUUGUCCUUCUCUGUUCCGAAGAUGGAGGCCAGAUACUCCGCCAUCUCCCACCGCCCGCCCGCCGGACAGCCCGGCGCCCACCCUGGACGUCACAGCCGCCGCGCCGGAAACACUUCUACUGAGCCCUGCAAGGGCGGGGGAGGAGGGAGCGAUGCUCUCUGCGCAUGCGCGGGGCCGACGGCUCCUCCCUCGGGGCGUGGCCUGGGCGGGGUAACCUCUCGCCGCCGCGGGCCUUGGGCGGGUGGGGCGGUGGUGAGGUUUGGGGGUGUAGUUGCUGUGUAGGCGGUUUGCUGUAGGGCGGCUGUGCCACGGUUUUAUGGUGGAGCAGGCCGUGCCGUGAUGGGGGCUCUGUGCUCUUCUUUGGGCUGGUGUCUGGCUCUCACCAGGGCUAGAGCCCUGUCUCUGGCAGAGCAAAGGGGGAAGCGGUGUUCUUUACGCCGGGAGGUAGCGCUCUGAGAAGGGGCGGCAGCAGCCCAGCAAUGACUGAGUGCCCUGUGGUGAAAUGGAGACAGUUCUGUGGGAGCUGAAGUCUUUUACCCGCAGAGACUGGGGUUUUUAAAAUGCAUCCUCUUUGGAAAUGGAACAACAUUUUUAGUAGUGUUUCACUACUUUGACUACAGUUAAUGCCCAGUGAAGGGAGUCUGGCUUUCUGUAACACCUCCUGGAAUUCUUCAGUUGGUUUAAGCUGAUUCAGUGAUGCUGUGACCUGUCACAGGACUAGGAGAGUCUGCUUGGCACUGCUGUAUGUCCUGUUCUUUUUGUAUGUACUCUUUCAAGAUCUGAAUCUCGCCUGCCUGCCACUGCACCUUACUGAGAUGACAGAAGCUUUCUGUCAGAACUUCUGCCAUAUACAGACAGAUUAACUUAUUUUCACUUCUUCCUCCUGCACUCCCUGACUUCUCGUCAAAUUCACAGUUGUGAUACAGGUAUUAGAAGCAGAAAUUCCUGGCCAAGUCAGAAACACUUGUUACCAAAAUACUGCUGCUUGGCUUUGUCUUGCAGUGUCCAUGCCCAGUAAGGUUUUUGUGUUAAAGGACACUUUUUUUUUGCUUAGUUGCUUGCUGUUGGUCUGCCUCCCACCUAGGCUUACCAUUGAAGUUUCAACUCACUAAACAGGCAGAAGCCAAACCCUGCACGAAACAGUCACUUCCUGCUCAUAGUGCAUAAUUGGCUCAUUAAGUUGGGUGUCAGAGUUAGCAGGAGGGAAGAUCAGGACUGCUGCAGCUGUAGUUUGGAGAAAAGGUGAUGAAGGAGUGGGACAACCCCUUUCAACAGCAAGGUAAUGCUGGAUCAGCUCCGUCACCUGCUGUGAGUCUCGACCUAGCCAAAAUCGUCAAAGGAACUAUAACUUCGGUGGCCUGCAAUGAACUUUGACAAAGUAGAACUUACGGUGGUUUUCAUUCUGAAAAUCACCACAGAAAGCAGUCUGCAGUGUCUGUUCACAGAGUAUAUGAUUUGCAUAAGCAGAACAAACUUGCACUGUUUUUUGCUGAAAUGUUUUUGUUAAUGCCUUCAGCUAAAAUAUGUUGAAAUAGGUUUUGCCUGAGUAAUUAAAAUCUGUUUUUGCUCAA